UCCAGCUCCAGAUUUCACAACCAGCCAGAUCACUUGAAGGCAGGGGCUAAGUCUGAUUUUUCUCCGUAAGUAUAAUGACACAAAUGAUCAAAAACAAACAAACAGAAAACAUGGACUAUCAAUCGAACAGUAGAAUCUCAAGAAACACAGCAUGUUAGUGCCUUUCUUUUUUUUCACCCUCUCAACCCGGCUUUUCCCAUAAGUGCCUUUCUUGAAAAAAACAAGAAAGAAAUUGACAGCAAAUUUCAACUAACCAAGCGAUGAAUUAAAUGAAGAACUCAAGAAUGGGGAAGCUGAAGAGAAAGACUGGUGUAGAAUUUGAAGCACCUGGCAAGAAGAUAAAAUAACUUUUCAUAAAGAUGGAGACUUGCCAUGAAUGAAACCAGGCAACUUGUGGAAGAAAUCCUUGUAACAAAAUCCUCACCUCUGUUGAGAAGUUGCAUUGGAAAGACCAUUUGGGGCCCUGGUGGUCAGAAUUCUAAAAUCAAGUUGUCAGCAGGGAUGGGUCCUUCUGGAGGUUCAGGUGAGAAUCCUUUUCCCUGCCUUUUUUAGUUUCUAGAGGCCGCCUGCCUUCCUUGGCUCAAGAUCCCCACCUCGCAUCACUCGGACCACUGCUUACUUCCAUUGUCACAACUCCUACUGUCUGAGCCUGUGUCUUCUUUCAUCCCUUAUAUAACGACACUCAUGAUUGUGCUGGGUCUACCCAGACCAUCAGGAUCUUUUUCCUCAAGAUCCUUGACUUGAUCAUAUCGGCAUAGUUCAUUCUACCAUAGGAAGUAGCAUUCACAGGUUCUAGGGAUGAGGACAUGGAUAUGUUUGGGAGGGACAUUAUUCUACCUAUGAUAGAAGACACAAGUGGAUUAUUUUA